rnacentral:rRNA from 1 species
GAUGAACGCUAGCGGGAGGCUUAACACAUGCAAGUCGAGGGGUAUUGUAGCAAUACAUUAGACCGGCGCACGGGUGAGUGACGCGUAUGCAACCUGCCGUUAACCGGGGGAUAGCCCGUCGAAAGGCGGAUUAAUACCCCAUAAUAUUGGGAUUCUGCAUGGGAUUUCAAUUAAAGCUGAGGUGGUUAAAGAUGGGCAUGCGUGACAUUAGCUAGUUGGUAGGGUAACGGCCUACCAAGGCUACGAUGUCUAGGGGUUCUGAGAGGAAGGUCCCCCACACUGGUACUGAGACACGGACCAGACUCCUACGGGAGGCAGCAGUGAGGAAUAUUGGUCAAUGGGCGAGAGCCUGAACCAGCCAUCCCGCGUGCAGGAAGACGGCCCUAUGGGUUGUAAACUGCUUUUGCGCAUGAAGAAUGUUACCGACGUGUCGGUAAGUGACGGUAAUGCGUGAAUAAGCAUCGGCUAACUCCGUGCCAGCAGCCGCCGUAA